UACGUAGGGUGCGAGCGUUAAUCGGAAUUACUGGGCGUAAAGCGUGCGCAGGCGGCGCCGCAAGUCGAGUGUGAAAUCCCUCAGCUUAACUGGGACUGCGUCCGAUACUGGAUGGCUUGGAUUUGGGAGAGGGAUGCCGGAAUUCCAGGUGUAGCGGGUGAAAUGCGUAGAUAUCUGGAGGAACACCGGUGGCGAAGGCGGCAUCCUGGACCAAUAUU
rnacentral:rRNA from 1 species